UACAGAGGUCUCAAGCGUUGUUCGGAUUCAUUGGGCGUAAAGGGCGCGUAGGCUGCGGGGCAAGUCGGGUGUGAAAUCUCAGAGCUCAACUCUGAAACUGCACUCGAUACUGCUUUGCUCGAGGACUGGAGAGGAGACUGGAAUUCAUGGUGUAGCAGUGAAAUGCGUAGAGAUCAUGAGGAAGACCAGUGGCGAAGGCGGGUCUCUGGACAGUUCCUGACACUGAGGCACGAAGGCCAGGGGAGCAAACGGG
rnacentral:rRNA from 1 species